CGUCAUACUUCUUUGCGUUAGUCAAGGGAACUGCAGAGCGAUUUCACCUAUAUUUCUGUACAGAACGUUUUCGUUCAUUUAGUAUUUUAUCGUUCAUGCGUUCCCGAUUAAACAUAUUUUAUGGCUGUAACAGGACGUUGCAACGGAUACUUUGGGAUGGGCUGUGCAGACCUUAUGUUAUAGCUUGCUCUGUGUGGACAUCACCGCCACCGUGGAAGAAAACGGCAGCUCAUGGCACCAGGCCUACACAAACUCGGGCUCCAGCCCCCUCCCAGCACCACCCGAACACUUGUGCAAGGCCUGCGGAGGCCAGUUUGACACCGUAAGAACAGUAAAUCCGUCUACUCCAAUUCUGCUAUUAAAGGGAUAGUUCACCCCAAAAUGAAAAUUCUGUCAUUAAUUACUCACCCUAAUUACUCAUGUCGUUCCAAACCCGUAAGACCUUUGUUCUUCUUCGGAACACAAAUUAAAAUAUUUUUGAUUAAAUCUAAAAGCUCUCAGACCCUGCAUAGACAGCAACGCAACUGAAAUGUUCCCAGUCCUAGAAACAUAGCAAGGACAUCGGUAAAAUAGGC
rnacentral:lncRNA from 1 species